rnacentral:rRNA from 1 species
UACGGGGGGAGCAAGCGUUGUUCGGAUUUACUGGGCGUAAAGGGCGCGUAGGCGGCCAGCACAAGUCAGUUGUGAAAUCUCCGAGCUUAACUCGGAAAGGUCAACUGAUACUGUGCGGCUAGAGUGCGGAAGGGGCAACUGGAAUUCUUGGUGUAGCGGUGAAAUGCGUAGAUAUCAAGAGGAACACCUGCGGCGAAGGCGGGUUGCGGGGCCGACACUGACGCUGAGGCGCGAAAGCCAGGGGAGCGAACGGG